GCAGCUACCCAGCAAUGGGAUGCGAAUCUCGAAAGCCUGUCUCAGUUCGGAUUGGAGGCUGAAACCCGCCUCCAUGAAGUUGGAUUCGCUAGUAAUCGCGCAUCAGCCAUGGCGCGGUGAAUACGUUCCCGGGCCUUGUACACACCGCCCGUCAAGCCAUGGGAGCCGGGGGUGCCUGAAGUUCGUGACCGCAAGGAGCGACCUAGGGCAAAACUGGUGACUGGGGCUAAGUCGUAACAAGGUACC
rnacentral:rRNA from 1 species